rnacentral:rRNA from 1 species
CCUACGGGGGGCAGCAGUGGGGAAUAUUGCACAAUGGGGGAAACCCUGAUGCAGCGACGCCGCGUGAGUGAAGAAGGAUUUCGGUAUGUAAAGCUCUAUCAGCAGGGAAGAAAAUGACGGUACCUGACGAAGAAGCCCCGGCUAACUACGUGCCAGAAGCCGCGGUAAUACGGAGGGGGCAAGCGUUAUCCGGAUUGACUGGGUGUAAAGGGAGCGUAGACGGCCUGACAAGUCAGAAGUGAAAGCCCAGGGCUCAACCCUGGGACUGCUUUUGAAACUGCCGGGCUGGAGUGCAGGAGAGGUAAGCGGAAUUCCUAUUGUAGCGGUGACAUGCGUAGAUAUUAGGCGGAACACCAGUGGCGAAGGCGACUUACUGGACUGUAACUGACGUUGAUGCUCGAACGCGUGGGUAGCACACAGGAUUAGAUACCCUGGUAGUC